AUUUCUUGAAUCAUCAAGUUACAACUUCUUUUCAUUUCUUCUUCUUCUACCAAGAAUUCAAUUAGUCCCGGAGCACGAAUUCCAGGAAAUCGAUUUCUUGAAUCAUCAAGUUACAACUUCUUUUCUCUUCUUCUUCUUCUACCAAGAAUUCAAUUAGUCCUAGAGGAAGAAUUCCAGGAAAUCGAUUUCUUGAAUCAUCAAGUUACAACUUCUUUUCUGUUCUUCUUCUUCUCGACACUUUUUCUUUUACCAAGAAUUGUUGAAUGCAAGAAUUCAAUUAGUCCCAGAGGACGAAUUCAACUGGAAAUCGAAAGAUCAAGAUUCAGUGUUUUUUAUUGUCAGGCUCCAGUGCAUCUACAGCUUCUGGGAAAAAUGAAGAAGAUGGCACUUUCAUUGUAUCCCCAGCAGGAUUAUUGAGAAUGAUUUUUUCAAGCAAGACUAGAGGACUAUGGGAACAGUUGAUAUAUUUCAGUAUAUAUUCAUCAAGUGGACACUUUGUUUUCUUAUUGGAGUUAUUGUGAGUCUCCUUGGGUUCCUCAACAACCUUGCCAUUGAAAAUAUAGCUGGUGUGAAGUUUGUUAUAACCUCCAAUAUGAUGUUGGCUAGAAAGUUUGUUGUUGCUUUCAUUGUGUUUGCUUCUUCAAAUCUUGGCUUGACAUUUUUAUCAAGUUUGGUCACUGGUUUGGUAGCACCAAAGGCUGCUGCUGGUUCAGGUAUACCAGAGGUUAAGGCUCACCUGAAUGGUGUAGACGCACCUGCAAUAUUUUCGUUUCGAACUCUGGCUGUCAAGUCAGUUUGCAGAAAAGGGUAGCAAAACACCCAACAUUAUGUGUUACAACUACUCGAAGGUAAUGGGAAGUCAUGUAGUGACAGCUUGACUUCAAUCAACAUAUGCGUCACAUUCUAAGCCAUAAGCUAACAUCAGAUCGAAAGAUUGCAAUUGGAAGUCAACAUACUUGAGGGUAAUGGUUUUCCGUAUAACACCUAACGCUAUUGAAGACGAACUCAAGUUCUCAACACAAGAGCUUUUCCUAAUUGUACGCACCAGUAUCCACCUGAUGAGUUCAAGUGAUUCUGAAUACGAGGCUCUCGAGGACAAAUGAGGAGUUUUGUCUACUGUCAAUUAGAAUAGUUUGUUAGUAUUUUAGCUUUUUUGAUAUUAAAAGUUAGGCGCCUUAGAAUUUUGAAGUCAUAGUCAAAAAGAUGUAAAAGGAAUGUUUCUCCAAGAAAAUGUAAUCCCACGUUGCUGGUUGAGAUGAAAUUUUAAUU